ACAGGUUGUUGUUACCAGUUGCCACAAUUUCACAGUUACAGAACACACCUGUUACCAUGGUGACACGGUUACACAGCAACGAUGAAGAUGGCGUUCAAAUUCUCAUUUUAGUUGAAUCAAAACUGAUCAGAGGGAUGGAUCAGCUAAUUCGAGUUCAGAGGUACACCUGUUUACCUGUCGGUCAGUACAUAGCAGUAUGCGGGUACUGGGGUUUCCGAGGCCUGCUGCCAAGGGCUUCACCACGGCAAUAACAACAUCCCUGCCCACAGAUGACGGGAAACAGCUGAGCACACUUACAUGGCCCUUCAGAGAUUGGUCCAUUGCCAGCCAACCACAGCUCACCUGGAACAGACAGGUCCAUCACAGUGAAAGUCAUUCACUGAGACCCGAGUCUCUGCUUCCUGAAUUACUGAGAGUCCAACAUGAGCAGUCCUUCCUUCUGUGAGGUGUUAAGAAGGCUCAGAUGAAUCAGUGAGAGAACAUAGACGGAUUACAACACCUAGAACAGGUCAGAUUGUGGCAGCAGGUUGAUCCAGCUGGCUGAUCCACCUCCUCAUGUUCUUUUCUGAGGUGGAGCUCAAGUUUAAACCCUUGUUCUGGGAGGACUAAGGACUUCCACAUGAUUGUUUGCAGGUAAAUUCAACUUUGUUUCCAGGCUCACAGGUGAAUGACAGAGAAGGUUCAGACAAGAACACCUGAAACAUCUGCUGAUUAAUCAGCUGUUUUUAAGUUAUUGUUCCUUAAAGUGGCAGGUUCCAAUUGUCCAAUUUAUUAAAUACAAGCUGAGUAUUGAAUGAAAUCCAAAAUCCAGGGUGGCAGUUUAUGGCAGCAUGCAAAAAGGUGGCAAUUAUGGUCAAUAUGUGGAUAUGAUGAAGCCAAACCAGUAUGCAACAGAGAGCGGUAAAAAACCGUAUGACCUUCACACACCCCAACACCCGAUGCCCUCUAACCCUGAGACAUAAAUAUAUUUCCCCCACACUGCCACCAGUGGUGGAGUAAAAUAUAGGUCAAAGUGUCAAUUCACAUUUAAA